UCAGCAACAUUGAGGAGGUCAUUACAAAGUUUUCUCAAUUGACUCCACAGGAGAGGGCAAAAAGGAAACUCGAAAGCCUUGAAGCGCUGAAGAAAACGUUUAAGAAGUUAGACCA